rnacentral:rRNA from 1 species
GGGGGAGUAACUAUUGGAAACGAUAGCUAAUACCGCAUAAGAGUAGAUGUUGCAUGACAUUUGCUUAAAAGGUGCAAUUGCAUCACUACCAGAUGGACAUGCGUUGUAUUAGCUAGUUGGUGAGGUAACGGCUCACCAAGGCAACGAUACAUAGCCGACCUGAGAGGGUGAUCGGCCACACUGGGACUGAGACACGGCCCAG